rnacentral:rRNA from 1 species
ACCCGCACAAGCGGUGGAUGAUGUGGUUUAAUUCGAUGCAACGCGAAAAACCUUACCUACCUUUGACAUGUACGGAAUUCGCCAGAGAUGGCUUAGUGCUCGAAAGAGAACCGUAACACAGGUGCUGCAUGGCUGUCGUCAGCUCGUGUCGUGAGAUGUUGGGUUAAGUCCCGCAACGAGCGCAACCCUUGUCAUUAGUUGCUACAUUUAGUUGGGCACUCUAAUGAGACUGCCGGUGACAAACCGGAGGAAGGUGGGGAUGACGUCAAGUCCUCAUGGCCCUUAUAGGUAGGGCUACACACGUCAUACAAUGGAUGGUACAAAGGGUCGCCAACCCGCGAGGGGGAGCCAAUCCCAUAAAACCAUUCGUAGUCCGGAUCGCAGUCUGCAACUCGACUGCGUGAAGUCGGAAUCGCUAGUAAUCGUGGAUCAGAAUGUCACGGUGAAUACGUUCCCGGGUCUU